GCCUGGAUGGCUAAGUUGGUGGAGCGUGUGACUCUUGAUCUCAGGGUUGUGAGUUCAAGCCCCACGCUGGGCA
rnacentral:tRNA from 1 species